ensembl:lncRNA
AGUGCUUUUCUUUUAGUGUAUAUUUUCAUUACACCACUGUACACAAACUGAUAUACACAUAUAUAUAUAUAUAUAUAUAUAUAUAUAUAUAUAUAUAUAUAUAUAUAUAUAUAUAUAUAUAUAUAUAUAUUAUUAUUAUUUUUUUUUUUUUUUUUGCAUUCUUGAAGAGUUUCACAUACAGAUAACAACAUGCUCAAAACUAUCCCAACUCACACAAAUCUGCAAAAAAUAAAACCAGUAGUAUGCGUGUAACUUUUUAAAAAAAAAAAAAAAAAAAACAAUAUGCACAUUCACACAUAUGCAUUUCUGAAAAAAAAAGUGACUUGACAUACAGCCAAGUAUGGUGACCCAUACUCAGAAUUCGUGCUCUGCAUUUAACCCAUCAAAAGUGCACACACACACCGUGAACACACACCCGGAGCAUUGGGCAGCCAUUUAUGCUGCAGUGCCCAGGGAGCAGUUUGGGGGUUCGGUACCUUGCUCAAGGGCACCUCAGUCGUGGUAUUGCCGGGCCAGUUAACCUUUUUCAUCAGUUAAGGAGAAACAUAAAGGGAGUAACAUAGGUAAAUUAGUUUAGAUAUGCCUUCUGCUUUGGUCAAGAGGAUUCUGCCCAUAAUAGACAGAUCUCUCAUAAGCCAAUGAUUAAGGGAUUUUUUCAUACUGUCAAUUCUCUCAUCUAUGUUUACUAAUUCUCGUAUAUGUAUUUCUUUACACAUUAUUAAACCUAAGUAUUUCACUUCAAAUUUAACAGGAAUGGAUUCUAUAUUUUCUUAAUUACAUGAAAACAAAGGAAAAAGUUUACUUUUUUUUUUUUUUUUUAUUUAGGCAUAAACCCGAUGCUCUUGAAAAGACUGGAAUAAUAUUCAGGGCUUUUUUAAAUAUAGAUUUAAUUUUUAAAAAUAUUACUGUGUCAUCAGCAAAUUGACUAAUAUUCGUAAUCAGAAAUGGUUAUUCCUUUUAACUGAGGAUGGUUGACAACUAAAUAAGCUAACAUUUGAGUGCAUAAUAUAAACAGUUUUGGAGAGAUUGGACAUCCUUGUCUAAUUCCACGCUAAAUAUCAAUUCUAGGAGUCAUACCUGGAUUAAGGGAUAUAUAACUAUAAAUGUUGUUAUAAAACAUUGUAAUAACCUUGCAAAACCCUGCCCCUUCCCCAAACAAUCUAAGUGUUGUAAAUAUAAAUUCAUACUCCACCGUAUCUAAUGCUUUAAAAAAAAAAAAAUCUAUAAAUAAAAUUAGGCUUUCUGAUUGUAUCAAUGAUCGAUAGUCGAUCAUAUCCAGGAUUAGUCUAAUAUGGUUUUGAAUAUACCUUCCCUUAAUGAAUGCUGAUUGAUACUCCUCUACAAGUUUCCCAAGAACCUGUUUAAGACGAUUAGCAUACACAAUGGCAAGUAAUUUAUAAUCUGUACAUAAUAGAGUUAUUGGUCACCAAUUAUCUAAUAAUAGCAACUGUUUAUUGGGUUUAGGUAGCAAGGUUAUUAAACCUGUUUUCUUAGUAAGUAAUAAGCUUCCUUCCUGAAUGCGUUCUAAAAAUGCAUUAUAUAAUAAUUUCCGAAUAUCUUUCAAAAAAUGUUUUAAAAAUUCAGUAGUACCUGGUGAUUUAUUAUUAUUCAUAUGUUUUAAAGCUACAUCCAUUUCCUCUAAAGUCAACUCAUCAUCAAUUAAG